AGUUUCAACUUGGCUUUGCUCUCAAUGGCACCAAGAUUGCUUGAUAAAACAGAACAUCUCCAGGAAAUUCAGCAGAAAGUAGUUGGAUCUCUUUCUAACCGAUCACGUAGCUUAAGCUAUGUUGAAGAUAAUAAUAAACUUUUUAAAUGUUGAGCAUCAGAGAAAUGCCAGGAGUUUCUAAAUGUGCCACAGCUGAGGAAAGCACAUGGAUAAGAAUGCAGGAUUUCAGCUCAUGAGAACUUGACAUGAAUAUGUUUCCAGGAUCUGUGGGUCAAGAGGCAAACUUGGUGAACUUUUGCAUAGAACAAAUACUUUCCUAGCCCUGUAAUUUCACCCAUCCUGAAACGUGAACAGUACGUUGUGCGAGGAGCACAAGAAUGUCCAGUGACAUCAAGAAGGAAAGCAACCAAGGAGGGAAAGGAAAUCUAUUUAGGUGAGAAGUGCUGUGCAGUUGACAUGGACUGCACAGGCUGAACUGCAAUCUGAUUUUGGAGUGGAAGUUCCCAUCUCUCUGAGGACUUGUAGACAGUCCUAUUAUAUCUUCUAGUCUUCUCUUGGCUUGAUUGACCUUGCUGAAAAGCAACAGGAUUUCAUUGUGCAUGAAAGAUACCUGGUGGAUAUUGGAAAUGGGGACAAGGUGCCCAAAGUUGAACUACAGAGGGCAGGUGAGGAGGCUCUCAGCCUGGGGAUGUAAACCCUCUUUUCUAGAGAGAGAGGAAUGGAAUUGCCUUGUUAUUGUGAAUUCCAGGCUCCCAUUCACAGAAGAGCUCCAGGGCUUAUAACAGUCAGGAUGAUGUACACUUUAUGCUUUCUUCCCCCGUUGAUCUUUGCUUGAAUGCACAAGAGCUGGAAUUCCUGUUCUAAAGCUCAUGGUGUUUUAGAGGAACAAAACCCCAUACAGUGUCAGUGUAAGAAUCACAGCAGUGGCCUUGAAAAGAAACCACCAGUGACAACUUUUUGCAUUUCUUCAGACCACUGCCACCAAUGCUGCUUUAUCCAGAGCUGCUGUGGCCAGCUUUGCAAGUCUUGUACGAAACUCUUGUGCUUGGUGAGCGAGGAGCAUCUGUAUGUGUUGGAACUGAAUUCGUUACCUACAUGCACUCUACUUAAUUCACUUGAUUGCGCUUAUCUAUAAAGUGUUUACAUAAGUGCACCCCAAAUGAAUUACAUUGAUUACUUCCACCACUGUGAAGCUAUUGUAACUGGUCAGAGAUGGUCAGAGAAGGGUAGGUAAGAAAUUAACAGGAGCCUGAAGGAUUCGGUUAGUAAAGAAAAGUUUUAGAAGGUUCUGAGAGUGAUGGAGGAGGGGAUAGAAUGUAAUACGCUAUAAACAUUUGAAGAACAAAAAUAUGGAGAGGAAUUAUUCAAGACAGAAAGAAGGCGAAACUGGAGAGGUAUAAAAUAAGUGUGAAGGAGAAGGAAGGUCCUGACAGCGAGAUGUCUGCAGGCUGUGUCUGCAGUAACCCAGGGGGGCACUACACCAGUAUCGUGUCUUAAAACUAAAUUGGAUAGGUGAGGAAGAAUAACCUAUAGCAGGCAACCCUUCUAUGAAGAAGGAGGAGAUUUAUGUAACCAUCUUCAGCAUUUAGUAUAAAUUCAAUACUGUCAGCAAGAAAGAUCACUUACAACGCUCACCUUGUGUUUUUACUUUUAAUGAAGCCAUUACUGAGGUCAUGUUGUUUAUUUAUGCUAGCAUGUUCUUAGCUACAACCGAAUAAAGAAGCAAAAUGCAUUAAAUCGAUCGCCUGCAGAUUUAAGGAAUGCAUGUACAUGAAAUUUUCUUUGAUUUGCCCGCACACUUGUUGGAAACUGACCUUGUAUUAGUUUGAAUGUAAAAACACUCAAUUGACUCCUGUGUGAAAAUUUUCUUUUUCCUUACCUCCUUGCCAUGAGUCAACCUGAAAAUACUUGUAUCCCAGUUAGAAAAUUCACUUAAUUUCAAAUGAGAAGGUUUAUUAGAAAAUCA